CAAAUUAUCAAACCAUUUGCAUUACAAUGUGAAGAUAGAAUCACAAAUUCACAAUUCACAUAAACCUAAUCUCUUCAAAGUUCAAGCCAUAUCAGUUGCAGAGGAAUCUCCACCCACAAAAAACUUCAAGGCAAGCCAUAGCUGUUUUCUUCUCUCUCAAAUUUUUGUUCUUUAAUGAUUGAUGAAGCAAACCAGUAACUAUACACUUGGAGAACCGCGUUUUACAGGAGACAUGAUGAAGGCUGGAAGGAGAGCAACAAGAAGCAACAAUAGCACUGAAGGCUUGAAUAUAGUUACAGUCAGUAGAAGAAUAAAAGCUUGUAUAUAAACUGGUGUAUGGAAACGUGUGAGGGGGAAGAAAAAUACAGAAUAUUAUUCUCGAUCUCUGCUUA